rnacentral:tmRNA from 1 species
GGGGGCGUUCCGGUUUCGACGGGAUGUUUGACGCGCUGGUUGCACGUGGAGGUUGAUCGGUUGGCCUCCUAAAAAAGCCGUUCAAAACAAAUAAAUGCAGACUCUAACGAGCUCGCACUGGCCGCUUAAUUGACGACCACGCCUGAACCCCAACGCCUGCUGAGGGGGAUGGCGACACUUUAGCAGGCUGGGAUAGGAAUCGGGUGACCGGGUUCCUUUCCGAGACUCAACAGGUUUCUAGGACGGGCAACGCCGCAUGCGGGCCUAGACCGUCCGAAACUCCAGACCGCAUGAUAAACGUGUAGAUGCCUGUGCUGACGGUGUUUCGGACAGGGGUUCGACUCCCCUCGCCUCCACCA